rnacentral:rRNA from 1 species
UACGUAGGUGGCAAGCGUUGUUCGGAAUUAUUGGGCGUAAAGGGCGCGUAGGCGGUUUGCUAAGUCAGUUGUGAAAGCCCGGGGCUCAACUUCGAGCUGUCGGUGGAAACUUUCUGGCUAGAGUCCGGAAGAGGAGAAUGGAAUUCCUGGUGUAGCGGUGAAAUGCGCAGAUAUCAGGAAGAACACCCGUGGCGAAGGCGGUUCUCUGGGACGGUACUGACGCUGAGACGCGAAAGCGUGGGGAGCGAACAGG